rnacentral:rRNA from 1 species
CCUACGGGUGGCAGCAGUGGGGGAUAUUGCACAAUGGGGGGAACCCUGAUGCAGCGACGCCGCGUGGGUGAAGAAGCGCCUCGGCGCGUAAAGCCCUGUCAGCAGGGAAGAAAAUGACGGUACCUGAAGAAGAAGCCCCGGCUAACUACGUGCCGGCAGCCGCGGUAAUACGUAGGGGGCAAGCGUUAUCCGGAUUUACGGGGUGUAAAGGGGGCGCAGACGGCGAUGCAAGCCAGGAGUGAAAGCCCGGGGGCCAACCCCGGGACUGCGCUUGAAACUGCGUGGCUGGAGUGCAGGAGGGGCAGGCGGAAUGCGUGGUGUAGCGGUGAAAUGCGUAGAUAUCAGGAGGAACACCGGUGGCGAAGGCGGCCUGCUGGACUGCAACUGACGUUGAGGCCCGAAAGCGUGGGGAGCAAACAGGAUUAGAUACCCGAGUAGUC